AUGGAUACUUUAGAACAACUCAGACUAUUUCAGGACAUAGUUUGCACAAGGUACCUGACAGACAACGUGACCCUGCGGACACUAGAGCAAGCAGAUCCAGCAGCCUCAAGUAGACUAGCCGAUGCCAACCGCACGAAUGAAAUCGUAGCCACAACAGAACCAAGAGAAAGGAGAAAAAGAAAGAAAGAAGAAGAAAACGAAGAGAGGAAGAGAAGAACAAAAUCAAGGGACGAUGAACUCCAACAGCAGGAUUGUGUCAACAACCCCAAAAACAAGAAUGAAUGCAACAAACAAAGCAACCUCACAACAGACAGUGCUACAACAACAACUACCCCAACACAAGCACAAGAUACGAUCGACGUCAGAACCAGUGAAGAGGCUCAGUUGGAGAACAAUCAAGUGAGCAGUCCGGUCAACCAAAUGCAAGAGGCUGACCCACAAUCAACCGUUAGCAUAACAAACGACAAAGAAGAAGAAAACAACGAAGAGGAGGUAUCACAAUCGCUGCAAGACCAAGAGACAACCCGUGUUGAAAUUGAACCCCAUAGUGAACCUCAAACAGAUGGAGUCACAGAACAGGAAGUUUGUGCACAAGAGAUUUCCAGUGCCACAACAUUGCAGACCACCAUCACGAGUACAAAGGAGAAAACCCAAGACAUCCCAGCCGAUGAGAAACUAGAGACUGUUAUACCUGACAAAGAAACAGUCGAUGCAGGCACGAAUAACACAGUCAUCAACACAGAGUCUUUGAACUUGAAACCGCAACAUCUGAAGAGGUGUGGUUACAAAGCUCAGACACAAAUGAAGUUCAAUCUAUAA
rnacentral:rRNA from 1 species